AUGGAAAGACAAGAACAGGCUGGUUAAGGCUAAAAUGUUCUUUUUGCUGGAAAUUCUGCAAAAGUGAUAUAUAAAUAUGUGAAUUAAUUUAUUAGUAGCUGAGUUAUGGGCCAGUUAUGGACUGUCAGUUGAUUAUUUCCAGGAAGUUUUCUAAUUUAGGACUUACAAUACUAGCAAUUGUAGCCCACCAGUCAUCCUUAGCUGAACUGAAUCCCCCAUACAAUAUCUCAGAAUACAGAGUUAGUGUUCCUUGGAGUUUCAUAAUACUUUGAUACAAAGCUGCAACUUACAUCAAGGUAACCCAAGCAGAAAAAUCCAAUGCAGAAGAAAAAUGGACAGAGAAUCCCACAAGAUGGCUUCUGCUCUGCAUGGGAUCGUUUUGUUUUGGUUUUUAUGACUUGCUUUGUAACUUUACUAUCAUAGAAUGUUCUUGGGAGGGGGGGAAGCGGUGAUUUUGGUCAUCCCCUAUUGUUAAUACUACUGAAAGAGUAGAAUUUACUACUUUGUGGAUACCACAAUGGUUCCAACAGUAGGAGGGAAUUUUCUUGUUGUAGGUGGGAGGGGAAAGGGGGGGAGGGGAAGUUUGGGGUUUGUUCACCGUCCAGCUGUUAAACUAUUGCAAGUUGCCAACAAUUGUCUUUUAGAUAUAAUGUUUUCCACAUGCUCCUAUAAUGUACUAAUCAUCCUGGAACAAGUAUGGAUAAUUUAAAAAUAAUCACAUUUUAAUGGGAUCAGCCAUAAAAUGGAGAUGGGUUUGUAAGGAAUUAAGAAAAGGGAGACCAGACUUGAUUCUGGUCCAGGAGACUCACCAGAGGAGGAGGGGGACUACAAUGAGUAUGUCUCCCUUCCCCUCCCCUCCUCUGGGAGACAGUGGUUUGCCUCUCAGGGAACAUCUAAGGCUUGUGGGGUAGCAACAUGUGUUGCGGAUAAAUCAGAAUUUAAACCUGAACAAACCCUUAGUGAUCCUGAUCUACGUUACUUGUUUAUCAGGGGCACAUUGCAGGAUCAGUGGCUGACUAUUAUGCACCAAACAACCAACAGGAAGAAUUUUGGGGGGGAAACUUUGACGGAGCUGGAAAAUUUUAGUUUACAAAGUGUAGGGCAGAACAUGUCCAGAAUGUGAAUUUACCUUUACAAAAGACCUGAGUGUUCUACUUGUGAUCAGUAUGUUCCAUUUGGUAUUGAAGAUACUAAUAUUCUUCAGAAAGCUGUAAAUUAAUAGAUGCUCAGCAUUUUCUACCUUGAAGCUUGAAGUAUGAAAACAUUACUAAAGAGCAUGGAGAAUUUAUAUCUUAUUAUAUUUCUUACUAUCUUUCUUUUCAAGCAUUUAGAUGACUAUGUAAAUCAUUACACAACAUUUUAUGCAUUUUAUGCUGUACACACACUCACACAAAGGAAUCUUACAUCUCUCUGUUGGGAAAUGGAAAACCCUGAGCUUGGAGAGUUGAAGUAAUACUGUGAAUCUCUUUCAUGAUAAUCAGCCUUGUAAAUGUAAAUACAAAAUAAACAUAAGCAGAAGGGGAAAGCCCCUAGAAUUUGAACUGAAAUCAGCUCUAACAUUUGGAGACUUAGUGUCCUGAAGAAUAUGUUCAUGCUUACAGUCAGGGCUUUAUCCUUUUCAGAGUGAAUUUCCAAAGCUUGUAAAAGAUGAAAAGACUUUUAAAUAACUAAGAUUUCUAAGUACCAGAGGAAUAGAUGGAUACUUCGUAAUGCUGUAGAAUUUGCAAUGAAAUAAUAAUCAACCCUUCUGUGUAAAUAGCCUUUGAGCCUUAUGGGUUCUUUUAAAAAAAUCCAUUUGGGAAAAGAAGCGAUCUUAAUUUUUUUUUAAAAGAACACAUUUACACUGCUGGCCAAGGUGACCCACUAGCAAAUACACUGUGAUCAAAGUCAUUUUGAAGGUCCUUUAGGGAGUUUGUAUAGGUCACACAUAAUCAGUGCUAAAAUAAAAUAGAUUGGCAUAUCUGACUGGGCCAGGGACUUCACCCAGGGGUUUUUUAAAAAAGAAUCUGACUCCUUAUGAGAUUGUAGAUUUACAGGGAUCUGAUGACACAACUCAAAUUACACAGUCUUAUUUAUUAUUGACUAUCACAAAAUGCAUUAUGCAAAAUGAGGAUGGCAGGUUCUUAUCAUAGGAUAUAGAACCCAUGUAAAACAGUCAAGUCCAAUACUAUGUAUUUUAAAUAUUAGACAAAACCAUAUGCUCAGUGGAUGGAAGCAGGUAUUAAAGUCCAAGGAGGUAACUUCAUAGCUGGCCAGCGAGAGCAGGAGCUAGAACUGAGAAGACAGGAAGCCGUUAAGACCUCUAAAAUAUUAGAGAGCAAGAGAGUUUUACAUUUGCAGAAGCCAUAUUGAUUCUUCAGCAAGACUUGUCCUUUUAUAUGCUUGAUCAUUUUAUCCUAAAUAAUACUUUCCACCAAUUUACCUGGACAGAUGUUAAGCCAAGUGGCCUGUAAUUUUCUGAAUCCCCUUUAAAGAACUGGUAUGGAGGCCAAGCUCAGGGACACGUUAUGUGUUGAAUGAAUUUAUUUCGGUCACUGACCAGAGUGCCACAUUACAUGUUAGAAGAUCAGCUAUUUGAUAUUUGAGUUCUAUAAGAACUCUUGGAUAGAUGCCAUCUGCACCUGAUGAUUUGUUACUUUUAAAUUUCUUAAUGAGGCCUAUUUAGCUUACUUCUUCAAAUGUCCUUCCUGAAAAGGUCAAUUCAGGCACAGGGUUGUGUCCUAUGUCUUCCACAGCGUGCAGACAUAUGAAAGAAUUCAUUCAGUUUUACUGCAACCUCCUUAUCCUCUUUUAACAAACAUGUAGCUCCUUUCUGGACUAAUGGUCCAACCACCUCCCUAGCUACUUUUCUGCUUCUGAUGUGUUUCAUAAAGUAUAUUGUUGGCCUUAAUGUUUUUAGUGAUAUCCACUUUUGCUUUGUUUCUAGUGUUAUUGCCAAACUACCAGUUACUUAAAUGUAUGGCCACAUUUCCUCACUGUGUCUCCUGGGAGUGUUUGAUGAAUAUGUUGUCUAUUCCAAGCACUGGAUUAAAAUACAAGUUUCACUGGGCAAACUUUAAAUAGGAAAUUAUUGAAAACGAUCAAACAUCAUUUCUAGAAAAUGUAGAAAUGAUGGCUGGGAGAUAUACUAGCAGACCUGCAAAAGAGCACCUCUGUAUAUGUGGAUCAGGGUCUAUUGAGAAUCUUUUAUAUUAUAUUAUAUAUGAUUCACCUAGAGCCAAAUUUAAUCUCCCCUUUUCAGACCGCCUUAGACGUUCAACCAGAUGUCUUUAAAAUUAAAAGGCUAUUGGCAGAAGUUGAUAGGGUGGCACUAUUUGUACUAGCAGCAAGAAAGAUAAGGACAGCCUUUAUGGAUAAUGCAAGUGCCAGACCCUAGGGAUGCUGACCAGAAGAAAUUGUUUUUUGGUGUGUGUGUUUUUUUCUGGACAUUGGACAUCUCUUUUAGUCUAGUGCAUGUAAAGUCUGUCGUUCUGUAGUUAUUUGAUUUGUGCUUAUAUUGCAUUGUGAUGGCCAUUAGCUAUAAACAAUAAAAAUCUAUUGAUUGAUUGAUUGAUUGAUUGAUUGGUUGAUUCAGAAAAUAUAUGAAGUGUAGGCUACUGUGAACAGAAUGGGCUGGCAGUAGAGGGAAAUUAUUUAUGUGGUCCCCCAUUCAGAUUCAGAUCUGCUUUGUUUUAACAAGGUGGCUGAAUCAUGUGGUUUCAGUCUAUGCCCUGAGACCUGUUGUAUGCUAUUUAUUUAAAGAAUUUUUACCCUGCUUCAAUAUGGCUAACCUGAUUCAAAAACACCCACCCACCCCACUCACACAUGAAAACAAAGUUCACCACAGCCAAUCACAAACAAGCAACCACACUCUAGGCUAACCCCAGCUUCUCUCACCACCAAAGGUACACAAGCGAAUAGCAAAAAGAACCUGCACAAGCGAUGCUGACACAAAACCCCCCACACACAUACAUUAAAUAAAAUAGAAACUUUGCCACCUGACCCCACCCCCACCUACCAUGGCUCCCUCCACCUCUUUCCCCCCUUUCUUCCUAAUGUAACACUAAUGUCUCAACAAAUGAAACUGACCUGUAGAAAAUGUAACUUGAAAAAAUAGACAUUGCACAUAUUUUUGUAAACCAAGAAAUCUUU